CGCGUAACGACCGCGAACAAGGUUAAUGGCAAGGAACGCCCGUCGGGGCAAACAUUACCAGAAUCAGGAGGGGGCGACCAGGGGUUUCUCCACAAACCCUAAUUCUCACAAAAUCCUCCAAAUUGAAGCUCAAAUCAAGCCCGAAUCGUCUGCAUGAUUACAAAUUCGUGAUCUCCAUUGAAAGGGGAGUCAUAAGUUUGACUCUUGACGAGCUAGGUGAAGCUUGGAGGAGAAGAUCAAACGGGAUAAAGGCACGAAUAAGACUUGCUUGGAUGAAAGGUAAGUAAAACUUACACCCACUUGUAGUAUAUGUGUUUAUUUCAUAACGAUGAAUACAAUAAAGGAUUUGGUUUGAAUCAUGGGUUCCGACCCAAAACGAAAUGAGUCAGAACCAACAAAAAUGUUUUAAACCAUGAUUAAUGGUGAAAAAGGCAAAAUGGUAAAUUAGUCACGAAUUGGUUAAGAAUUAGUGAGUUUUUCUUAAAGUUACCUUAUAGUGUAACUAGUAAUGGAAAAUGGGUAAAAAUGGAAAUUUAGUCAAGUAUCGACUAAAGUAAAAUGAGUUUCAAAGGACACCCAUAGCGUGAGCCGAAUGAGUUUAAAAAAAAUAAAAUAAAAUAAAAUAUAUAUAUAUAUGUGUAUAUAAGAAAUUGACUUUAGAAAGAAAGGGAUCUAGUGAGAAAAUCCGAAAUGGGUCGGAUAUGUGAUUGGUAAUUAAAAACCCAUGUUUUGUUACAUAUGAAAAUGUUGGGUUAUAUAGGUCGAACGGGUCAAAUGGUGGGAACAACGCCAUUUGACAGUAUCAACUAAUGUGGUUGUCAAGUCAUGUGUUUUCAGGGGCGAAUAGUAAUUUGGGUAAUUGCGUCGCCAUAAGAAUAUCGAUAAUGAAAGCAAGGAGUCGAAACGGGUCAUUAGGUUGACUCGAGCCAGGUGAAUGUCGAGAGUCCCGGAUGAAGAUCAAGCAUCGAACAAGAACCGAACACACGUUAAACAAAGCUUCCGCAACGUUGUUUUGUCGUUAUUCUAAACGGCGAAUUAAAUCACAUUAUGUAUAUCACUUAAAUUGUAAAAGUUUUUAACAACCCGUAUUUCUAAUGUAUAUGUAAUUAUUAAUUACAUGAUUAUUUCGCUAAAUAUACGUUAAACCUUGAUUUA